rfam:Omnitrophica WOR_2 bacterium RIFOXYA2_FTLL_38_17 rifoxya2_full_scaffold_444, whole genome shotgun sequence.
GCCGAAGUGGCGAAAUUGGUAGACGCGCACGUUUCAGGGGCGUGUGAUUAAUAAUCAUGUGGGUUCGACCCCCACCUUCGGCA